AAAUGAACGCCACCGACUUCCAGCACGACUCCAGCGCCGCCCGCCAGGCCAGCAGCAUGACCUCGCGUGCCCGCCGACCGGAAUCCCACAUUUCCGCUGGGUGACCGGAGCUUCGUGCUGUCUG
rnacentral:sRNA from 1 species